rnacentral:lncRNA from 1 species
GGUAACAGAAUAGAGGUGAUUAGAAGCCCAUUCUAAUUCCAGGGUCACUCAGAUGCCUUCUUAGAUGGCUGAAAAGAAGGUGGAGCUACAACUAACUGCCAAUGGUUUGCACAUAACCCAGAUACACCUUGGGAAAUAUCUGGGACAAGGACUGGAGAAUCUCUUUUAAUUGGGUCAGAAAAAAUUUUCUAUAACAUGAAAGUCCUAGAGAGUUUUCCUGACCGCAUGCUCCAGUCCAUUGUUUCUCCAGGAGCUGCUGACCCUCCCUGGGAUCACCUUGUGUUAGCUGAUCUUCCUGCCUAGGGCUGAGGUGAGCUUUCCAGACUGCGUUAUUCUUUCAUCUGCACUGUGCUCUGUUUCUUCAGUUUCUCUAGUUUCUAGUUUUCCUGUCAGCCCCUCCCAAUUUCUGGAGAUCUACUUCUGUUUUUCUUCAUUGAGUUAUUGUUUUCCAGGUGUCUUGAUUUCAGGUCUGAGAGAAGCUGUAUUUUGCUGUAGGCCUUUACUCUGACAUUUUAAAUAUUCAUUCUAUACCUUAGUGAUUGUGAAUAGGUCUUCAGUACACAAGGACAGGCCAUGCAGGCUGAUUUAAUUUUCUUUGAAUAUCUACCUAGCUCAAUUAUUUUUAUUUCUUCCUAACAUUAGGGAGCAAGAGGAUUUUCAGGAGAGAAGGUAGGUAACUUGCUUUACUCUCAGAAACUGCAUAGCAGUUUCUUUGGGAAAUACAAUAUCAUGUUCAGUCCCUUUUCCUUUAUUUGAGUGAGAUGAAACCUUCAAUUUUUCUACAAGGAAAUAGAUUCAAUCUUUUUUUUUGGUACCGGAGAUCAAACUUGGGUCCUUGUACUAGCGAGGCAGGUGGCGGAAUCACUAGCUAAUUCCCCAGCCCAGCUUCAAUCUUACUAAUAGCUAAACUUCCCUGUUAAUUACUAUUUGUAAGGCAUGCAUUUCAUAUAUAGGGCAGUGACACAUGUUAUUUUCAGGCCUUGCUGACUUUGCAAUAAUUGAGCCACCAUAUUCAUCACUUGACAGUCUAGAAGUGUUGGUCUGAAUACAAAAUGUGGUAGUAAGGAUCUGGUCAAGGUUGUGUUAAAUGAGAGAAGUGCAAUAAGG